UUGUUUUUACAGUGAUGGAAGGACUGUAGCUGUUAAACACAUCCAGAAGAAACACUUUACCCUCACCAAAACAAUCAGAAAAGAAGUCAAAGAGGUCAGGGAGCUUGAUCACCCAAACCUCUCCAAGUUCAUUGGAGGUGGCAAUUGAAAUUCCUUUCGUGAGCAUUAUCACUGAAUACUGUCCAAAGGGAAGCCUGGUAGACGUGAUGUUGAAAGAGGACUAUGUGUUUUCGGUAAAUCUGUCUUGUGGCAUUGUGGGAAAGCUCUUUAAAAACUUCAUGAGGGAAACAAAUGAAUUGAACACUUAACAUCUACAGAUUGUCCUUUGCUACUGAUAUUGCCUGAGGAAUGGCUUACCUGCAUCAGCACAAAAUGUUUCACGGCUGUCUUCAUUCACACAACUGUGUGACUGACAACCGGUCGGUCUGCAAAAUAUCAGGUACAUCAUUUUAGAUUUUCUAGAGCCACACUUCUUAUAUAUAUAUAUAUUACUACAUAUGAGAAAAAUAAGAAAUAUGAAAUAAGACAUAUAAUAUUUAAUGAUACAGAUUAUGGGCUAAUGGCCUAUAGAAAGGAGGACUUCAAGGACAUGAGCACCAAUUUCCAAUGUCAAAACAUAUCAUUUACUGCGCACCUGAAGUUCUGCUGAGAAUCAGCACUAGUUUCACAGCUGCAGCUGGUGUGUACAGGUUGGUUCAAAUGCUUGAACUUUAUAUAUUUUUAACCAUCUAUUAACCCUUAAAUUAAAAAAAAGGCAGAUAAAUACAUAUUUGAAAUAUUCUAAAGUGAAUUUAAAAAUCUUUAACAUUUCCCAAUAAAUCGGCUAAAAUGUUAAUAAGUUAAAAAAUUAAAAUAUUUAUUAAAAUAUAUUAUUUAUAUAAAAUAAUCAUUUAAUUUAAAUGAAACAAACAAAAAGUUUGGAAUAAUUAAGUUUUUUUGUUUAUCGAAAGAUGCUCUUAUGAUCACCAAGGCACAUUUAUUUGAUCAAAAAUAUGGAAAAAACAAUAAUAUGGUGAAAUAAUAUUACAAUUUAAAAUAAAAUUGAUUUUUGAAUAUAUUUUAAAUUGUAAUUUAUUUCUGUGAUGGCAAAAUUUUCAGAAGCCAUUA
ensembl:lncRNA